AUCCCAUGUGCUUCCAGACUCUGACUCUUAUCUGCGUUUUAUUGAACAAAUGAAUUUGGCUACUAAAGACUGAUCCUGGACUGACAUCUUAGAUAUUCCUUCACCAAGAAUGGAUAACAGGGCAGGAACCAAAAAUUUCCUGGUGCCUCACUCCAAGAUGCAAUAUCAGCUCUUGUCCUAAAGAUAGGAUUCUGCCUUAAAUUGAGAACCCGGGAAACGCGUGUCUGCAUAAUGAGCAGCCGGCUUCUUGGGUCAGAUAGAAGAGUGUCUGGUGGGUGACAGAGAACUCGAUGCUGCUCCGUGCCCUAAACGCUGGUAUUUGUGUUCUUGCAAAGCAGCCUGGGACUGUUCAUCGUGCCAGGAAUUAAGGAGAAGGACUAGAAGACUAGAAUGCGGAAUCACGAUUCCCUAUUGUGUGCUGUUGCAUCAUUUCUAAUCAGCACGCCACAGCGCCGAUGUUACCACCGCUCUGUCUACAGGUGCCUCUGUCUGGUACGCCAGCCUC
rnacentral:lncRNA from 1 species